GUUCCGGCGCUGUAGGAUGUGGCUGCGGCCGAUUAGGUAGAUGGUGGGGUAACGGCCCACCAUGCCGAUAAUCGGUACAGGUUGUGAGAGCAAGAGCCCUGGAGACGGUAUCUGAGACAAGAUACCGGGCCCUACGGGGCGCAGCAGGCGCGAAACCUUUACACUGCACGAAGUGCGAUAGGGGGACUCCGAGUGUGAGGGCAUAUAGCCCUCGCUUUUCUGUUACCGUAAGGUGGUACAGGAACAAGGACUGGGCAAGACCGGUGCCAGCCGCCGCGGUAAUACCGGCAGUCCAAGUGAUGGCCGAUAUUAUUGGGCCUAAAGCGUCC
rnacentral:rRNA from 1 species